AUCCCAUGUUGAGGACAUUGCACCAAAAGUGCCUUAUAUCUUUCAUAAUAUGCAUGGAAUGAUUCAUCAUGUUCUUGCUGAAUACCUGUGAUCUUCUUCCUAAGCAC